AAGUUUGUAUCUCGUGUGUGGUAGUAGUUAGGAUUUAAAGCCUAACUAGCUAUAUGCACGUAGUCGUAACUGAAAGGUUGAUCGACCACAGUGGGCCUGAAUAAAGCCCAUGACGAUUGUCACAGCAGUGAGGAAUAUUGGUCAAUAGCCUAACGGCUGAACCAGCAACUUGGAGGAAUGAUGAUAAUGACAUUGUCUGCCUAUGUGUCUUGACCAAAUUACGUGCCAGCAGUCGCGGUAAUACGUAGAAGACUAGUGUUAUUCAUGUUUAAUCGGUUUAAAGGGUACCUAGACGGUAAAUCAAGCCUAAAAGGAAAUAAAUGAAGGGACUAAUUUACUAGAGUUACUUAUGAGGGGGUAUUAAAGUACUGCUGGUGUAGAGAUGAAAUUCUGUCAUACCUCUUUUCAAUAGAAAAAUAAUGGCACAGGUAUAGGCGAAAGCAUCCCCUUAUGUGAUAACUGACGUUGAGGGACGAAGGCUUUGUGUAGCGAACAGGAUUAGAUACCCCAGUAGUCAAAGCAGAAAAUGAUGAAUGUCAUAGAUUAGAUACAUAAGUUUAUUCUAUAAAUGAAAGUGUAAGCAUUCCACCUCAAGAGUAAUUUGGCAACAUUGGAACUGAAAUCAUUAGACCGAAUAUUUAUAUCUUUUAUUGUUUUUCUUUUUAACUUUCUUCUGAUUUUCUACUUAAAAGAAAACAAUAACAAGAAAAAAGAGGCAAUAAGAUAUAUUUACAAGCGUUGCACGGCUGUCUUCAGUUAAUGUCGCGAGACUCUGGUUAGUUCCAUUAAAUUAACGUAAACCCUUACUUUAUUUUUAUAUAGAGUA
rnacentral:rRNA from 1 species